UGGGGCACCUGCAUCCAGUAUGCCGCGUGAGUGAAGAAGGCCUUCGGGUUGUAAAGCUUUUUGUCAGGGAAGAAACACCGGCUCUAACACAGUCCGGGAAUGACGGUACCUGAAGAAUAAGCACCGGCUAACUACGUGCCAGCAGCCGCGGUAAUACGUAGGGUGCGAGCGUUAAUCGGAAUUACUGGGCGUAAAGCGUGCGCAGGCGGUUAUACAAGACAGGCGUGAAAUCCCCGGGCUUAACCUGGGAAUGGCGCCUGUGACUGUAUGGCUAGAGUGUGUCAGAGGGGGGUAGAAUUCCACGUGUAGCAGUGAAAUGCGUAGAUAUGUGGAGGAAUACCAAUGGCGAAGGCAGCCCCCUGGGAUAACACUGACGCUCAUGCACGAAAGCGUGGGGAGCAAACAGGAUUAGAUACCCUGGUAGUCCACGCCCUAAACGAUGCUGACUAGUUGUUUGGGAAUUUAUUCCUGAGUAACGUAGCUAACGCGUGAAGUCAGCCGCCUGGGGAGUACGGUCGCAAGAUUAAAACUCAAAGGAAUUGACGGGGACCCGCACAAGCGGUGGAUGAUGUGGAUUAAUUCGAUGCAACGCGAAAAACCUUUACUAACCUUGACAUGCCACUAACGAAGUAGA
rnacentral:rRNA from 1 species